rnacentral:rRNA from 1 species
GUGCCAGCAGCCGCGGUAAUACAGAGGGUGCAAGCGUUGUUCGGAAUUAUUGGGCGUAAAGGGCAGGUAGGUGGUCUUAAAAGUCUACUGUGAAAUCCCUGGGCUUAACCCAGGAAGUGCGGUGGAUACUCUAAGACUUGAGUGCCGGAGGGGUGCGUGGAAUUCCGAGUGUAGCGGUGAAAUGCGUAGAUAUUCGGAGGAACACCAGAGGCGAAAGCGGCGCACUGGACGGCAACUGACACUCAACUGCGAAAGCGUGGGGAGCAAACAGGAUUAGAUACCCUGGUAGUCC